rnacentral:rRNA from 1 species
UACGGAGGGUGCGAGCGUUGUCCGGAAUCAUUGGGCGUAAAGGGCGCGUAGGUGGCCCGGUCAGUCUUUGGUGAAAGCGCGGGGCUCAACCCUGCGUCGGCCAGGGAUACUGCCGCGGCUCGAGCACUGUAGAGGCAGGCGGAAUUCCCGGUGUAGUGGUGAAAUGCGUAGAUAUCGGGAGGAACACCAGUGGCGAAGGCGACUACCUGGCCUGUUCUUGACGCUGAGGCGCGAAAGCUAGGGGAGCAAACGGG